rnacentral:rRNA from 1 species
UACAGAGGGUGCAAGCGUUAAUCGGAAUUACUGGGCGUAAAGCGUGCGUAGACGGUUAAGUAAGUCAGGUGUGAAAGCCCCGGGCUCAACCUGGGAAUUGCAUUUGAGACUGCCUAGCUAGGGUGCGGAAGAGGGAAGCGGAAUUUCCGGUGUAGCGGUGAAAUGCGUAGAUAUCGGAAGGAACAUCAGUGGCGAAAGCGGCUUCCUGGUCCAGCACUGACGUUCAGGCACGAAAGCGUGGGGAGCAAACAGG